CAGCUUCCAUGGCAACGUAGAACUAGCAGAAAUAGCAGUAGACAAACUAAUGUGCCUGGAGCCGCAAAACACAGCAAAUCUAGUCAUCCUUUCAAACAUAUAUGCGGCAUGUGGCAAAUGGGAUGGUGUUGCCCGGGUCUGGAAGUUACUGAGGGAAAAAGAUCACAAGAAAUCAGCUGGGUACAGUUACAUUGAGUUCGAUGGCAGGAUGCAUAAGUUCCUGGUUGAGGAUAAGUCGCAUCCAAGAUAUGAGGAGGUAUAUGAAACCCUGGAUAGUGUCACACUUACCAUGAAGCUUGUUGGCUUGGAAAAUUUGGAAGAAGAGGAAUGCUAAUUUUUCCAUUGACACCUUCCUUAUCUUUUUUAAGCCACCUAGAUUUGUGAAGAAACAGAUAUAAAGUCACUCGAGAUUGAUCAUGGAGUCCUUGCUCUGAUCUUUCGUAUAUAACUGAACUGCAAAAGGAUACAUCAAGGAGGCAACAGAAGAUGUGAAUAUCAAGUGAAUGCACCACCUGGAUAUAAACAGAUUUUUUUUUCUAGUACCAAUUACCAAAUGGUUGUUUCUGUUGUGCUUACUAUCAGAGGUGCAAGAGUACCAGGCAGAAAAGAACAUGUAAUUGCAUGACAUACCCCAAGCAGGUGCAUUCCUCUGUUUCUGUUCAAAUUUGAACUUUGGAUCUGACAUGCUAAAUUAUUAAACAGAAACUAGGGGACAUUGAGAAAGCCUAUGCUGUAGUAUUGCCAUGUUGCGUGCUUUCUGCUUUUCUGCAUUUAGCUAAAUGCCUCUCUAACUUGUUUGAUGUGGCAGCUCACUGUGGAAGACGCUAGAGGAAACCCUCAAACCUGUAAGCUCUCAACUCACCAAACUCUAGAACACAGAAUGCACACACAAAGGAAAUUGGCACUGCAAAGAUGCAGCUUUUCUGAUUAUAUUGCCCUCUUAUUUGUAUCUGAGAAUGCAUGGCCUUGAUGGGCGAUGACCGAAACUACUGGCCAUAGUGGCCCUAUCAACUAGGACACGUCCUGUGGAGAGAAAUUGACACUACUAACAUCACUUCUUAAAGACCAGGACUUGCUAACAAUCUUGACCAGUUCAGCCGACUACUAACUGAAUGACCACACCUGAAUGAAACUCUGAAACUACUGAACUUGACUGAAAGACAUCUGACUGAAACACAGGGACAGGGAUUACUUCCAAAACCAUGGGUUUAUGCAUGAGAUUGCUUGGAACUAUGAUGCAGGAAUGAGGGAUGUUAUCUUUGUGCCCAUCAUGUUCGCAUGAUUCCCUUCUGUAGUACAUUUCAGCCAUGGUCCAUGGAUCACCCUCAUUGUUUGGAGCCGGAAGCAAGGCAAACAUGAGUUGUCAAAUGGUAGAAAUAAGAAGCCUUAUUUGUCCUCCACUUUCUAAAAAAAAAGUGGACUUGCUCUUUCCCUAUACAGUAUAUGUUUUGUCGUGCUUCAUGAGAUUGUCAAGUGGUAGAAAUAAGAAGUGGGCCUUGGUUACUUUUUUGUAGCUGAAACUGGUACAUUGAACAAAUUUACAACAUUUUUUUGUGCCAUGUGUCAAUCUGGAUUCUGGAAAUUUGAAAAUGACUGCUGCUGCUGGCUGCUGCUUAGGUGUGAACGUACUAGAACAAAAAAGGAGAAAGAUUUGCUCAGAUAGGAGUACAGGACACUCCAGAAGAACACAGAGGACACUGGUCAAUGUUCAGAUUGCCAUGUGAUUUGGAAAAAACAAGUUCUCCGGGUCAGUUUCACAAUUAGGAACAUAAUCAUAAUGUAAGAUGCUUGACAUGACUGGUCAGUGCUGAUGACCGAACAUGAUAGUGAAUAUUAUUUUAUUUUAUGUCAUUGCUUCAUCUAGUGAAAUAAUUCGCGCUAUGAAUUUUUCAUCGUCCUUUUGUGUUUGUAAAGUUGACUGACCAGGUAGUGCUCUGGAUCCUCAAUGACGCCUUGCAAUCAGGCG
rnacentral:lncRNA from 1 species